rnacentral:rRNA from 1 species
AAGAUGGCGACCGGCGCACGGGUGAGUAACACGUAUCCAACCUGCCGAUAACUCCGGAAUAGCCUUUCGAAAGAAAGAUUAAUACCGGAUAGCAUACGAAUAUCGCAUGGUAUUUUUAUUAAAGAAUUUCGGUUAUCGAUGGGGAUGCGUUCCAUUAGUUUGUUGGCGGGGUAACGGCCCACCAAGACUACGAUGGAUAGGGGUUCUGAGAGGAAGGUCCCCCACAUUGGAACUGAGACACGGUCCAA